rnacentral:rRNA from 1 species
CAGUCGCCGCGGUAAUACGAAGGUCCCGAGCGUUGUUCGGAAUCACUGGGCGUAAAGGGAGCGUAGGCGGCGUGGUAAGUCAGAUGUGAAAUCCCGGGGCUCAACCCCGGAACUGCAUCCGAUACUGCCAUGCUAGAGGAUUGGAGAGGUAGCUGGAAUUCUUGGUGUAGCAGUGAAAUGCGUGGAGAUCAAGAGGAACACUCGUGGCGAAAGCGAGCUACUGGACAAUAACUGACGCUGAGGCUCGAAAGCCAGGGUAGCGAAAGGGAUUAGAUACCCCCGUAGUCCCUGUCUCUUAUAC